rnacentral:precursor_RNA from 1 species
AUGGCAUUAGUGGCAGGCAGCAGGUUUGGUAACACACGCACAGGUAAAGCGCGAGCGGAGAGAUGGGGGUUGGUUUUGAUUUGGAGACAGGGAUGAGACAGAGCAUGGGAUGGGGCCAUCAACAAAGUGGAGGGACUAGCUUGCGAGGCAGAAAGAAGGUGCCAGUGCCGGUGCCUCCCCGGUGAAACGAUGAUGGGAGUGUUGUUGCUCCCUCCCCUGCACUGCCUCUUCCCUGGCUCCGAUCCCCCACCGUUGCCCAUCCAUCAUCUCCCUCUCGCUCUCGUUUAUGCUCUUGCCUGCAUUCUUUUUCACAGUAGGCAUGCAGUACUACUUUUGGUUCUCUUUGCAAUAUAUAUACUGCAGGUUUGCUAAUCGCUAAGAGCCUAAGAAUCUUCCGCCUGGAGUGGACUGUACUUUCAGGAAAAAUCGUUCUAAAAUAUCCGGUCUGCAUCUUCGGGGAGGACGAUUGGGCGCGACGAUGCCUCGGUACCCCAAGAAACAGGAUCCCAUCGAUCGGUGCUCAAGCUCGCCAGCAACCAAAGAAAAGAUGCCUCCAAGAAAAACAAUUUCCAGCUUCCCCGAUUCAACACAUGUGGAUUAGCACAAACUCUCUUGUUUAGCUUUGAUUUAGAUCUAGUUCCUCUGAAUUGGUCCCACCUAAUUCUUGACCCUUCGGGCGGUGUAUAGUCGGACGGAGGACUCUCGUUAAUUAUUACCAAAACGCUGCAAGAUGAUUUCUCA